rnacentral:rRNA from 1 species
UCUGACGCAGCGACACCGCGUGGAGGAUGAAGGCCUUCGGGUUGUAAACUCCUUUUGACCCCUCAUGAAGGGGGGUAGAAUAAGCAGCUACUAACUACGUGCCAGCAGUCGCGGUAAUACGUAGGCUGCAAGCGUUACCCGGAUUUACUGGGCGUAAAGCGUCUGUAGGUGGUUUGUAAAGUCCUGUUUCAAAGACCCCGACUUAAUCGGGGAAAGGGGCAGGAUACUGACAAGCUAGAGUUAUUUAGAGGUUACUGGAAUUUGUAGUGUAGGGGUAAAAUCCGUGGAUACUACAAAGAACACCGAUGGCGAAGGCAGGUAACCAGAAAUAUACUGACACUGAGAGACUAAAGCUAGGGUAGCAAAUCAGAUUAGAGACCUGAGUAGUCCUAGCCCUAAACGUUGCCUGUUAGCCCGAUGAUUAUUUGUCGGGUGUAAGCUAACGCGUUAAACAGGCCGCCUGGGGAGUAUAGCCGCAAGGCCGAAACUCAAACGAAUUGGCGGGGAGGCGCACAACCAGUGGAGCAUGUGGUUCAAUUCGAUACAAAGCGAUAAACCUUACCCGGGUUUGAACUGUACCUGCAUAUAUCAGAGAUGAUAUAGCUUUCGAGGGUGGUACAGAGGUGUUGCAUG